rfam:Candidate division WOR_3 bacterium SM23_42 WORSMTZ_1508, whole genome shotgun sequence.
GGGCGGUUAGCUCAGCCUUGGUUAGAGCGUCUGCUUGACAUGCAGGAGGUCACCCGUUCAAGUCGGGUACCGCCCA